rnacentral:rRNA from 1 species
UCGGAGUCCGAGUUGUAAUUUGUAGAAGAUGCUUUGGGUUGUGGGUUCGCCUAAGUUCCUUGGAACAGGACGUCAUAGAGGGUGAGAAUCCCGUAUGUGGCCGAGGCCUGCGCCUGUGUAAAGCUCUUUCAACGAGUCGAGUUGUUUGGGAAUGCAGCUCAAAAUGGGUGGUAAAUUUCAUCUAAAGCUAAAUAUAGGCCACGAGACCGAUAGCGCACAAGUAGAGUGAUCGAAAGAUGAAAAGCACUUUGGAAAGAGAGUUAAACAGUACGUGAAAUUGUUGAAAGGGAAGCGCUUGCAACCAGACUUGGGCACUGCUGAUCAUCCAGAGUUCUCUCUGGGGCACUCGACAGUGCACAGGCCAGCAUCGGUUCGGGUGGCUGGAUAAAGGCCGUAGGAACGUAGCUCCUCUCGGGGAGUGUUAUAGCCUGCGGUGCCAUGCAGCCCAGCCGGACCGAGGACCGCGCCUUCGGGCUAGGAUGCUGGCGUAAUGGUUGUAAGCGACCCGUCUUGAAACACGGACCAACGGAGUCUAACAUC